rnacentral:snRNA from 1 species
GUGCUCACUGUAGUAGAACAUAUACAAAAAUUGACAUAGAGAUUAGCAUGGCUAAUCUGCAAGGAUGAAAUGCAAAUUUGUGAAGUGUUCCAUAUAUUU